GACGAACGCUGGCGGCGUGCUUAACACAUGCAAGUCGAACGAUGAACUUGGAGCUUGCUCUGGGGGAUUAGUGGCGAACGGGUGAGUAACACGUGAGUAACCUGCCCUGGACUCUGGGAUAAGCGUUGGAAACGACGUCUAAUACCGGAUAGGACCUCUGACCGCAUGGUCGGGGGUGGAAAGUUUUUUCGGUCUGGGAUGGACUCGCGGCCUAUCAGCUUGUUGGUGAGGUAAUGGCUCACCAAGGCGACGACGGGUAGCCGGCCUGAGAGGGCGACCGGCCACACUGGGACUGAGACACGGCCCAGACUCCUACGGGAGGCAGCAGUGGGGAAUAUUGCACAAUGGGCGAAAGCCUGAUGCAGCGACGCCGCGUGAGGGAUGACGGCCUUCGGGUUGUAAACCUCUUUCAGUAGGGAAGAAGCGAAAGUGACGGUACCUGCAGAAGAAGCACCGGCUAACUACGUGCCAGCCGCCG
rnacentral:rRNA from 1 species